AAAAAAAGAACAAAGCUUGUCUUUUUCCAACGGUUGAUGUAUGGAGCCGUAAAAACAUUCUUGAACAAGUACAAGAAUUUAGACCUUCUGUUAUUAAAAAUUAAUUAAACGAACCCCCCUCAAAAAAAAAAAAAAAAUCUAUCUUGCACGAUCUUUCAGUAGUUCUGUUGGCCAUGGGAUCAUGUUGCAGAGAGUAUAGUUUGAAAUUUUCUUGAAUGUGAAUGGAGAGGUUCGUACCAACUGACAGGGAGAUUUCAACUCGGAGAUUUACCUAGCGACUGAAGUGAGUCACUGACGAGUGAGUAUCUUGGCGGGAUUUUGAAGGGUUGUUGAGACUCGAGUCGGGGGAGACGAUUAAGCAGCUUGUUUUCCUUUUUCUGUUUCGCUCGCUUCGUUUCCGUUUCGGAUUUCAUUUCUGGCAAAGGAUUAUAUAAAAUUUAUUCUUAUUAUUUUUGAAUCUCUCCCUCCUUUUUUUUUUUUUGAACUCUACAUUGUCUUUAUACAAAGAAGAUUCUAUCUAAGAAGCCAUAAAAUCAGCAGAAUUUUCGCCUAUAUACAAGGCAAGUUCAAUAAUGACUGAAAGCUGUGCAAAACGUUUAACGGUUACUUUCUCCUCUGCAAAGAAAACCCUUGACCAAGCUCGUGCGUGACUCUCUCUACUUUAAAUUCAUUAUCUUCAGUAUUUUGUCACAGCGAAGCUUUGCGGCGUGCCCAGAGGAUACUUCGAUAUUGAGAGUUUGAUUCACCCGGGUUAAGAUGAGAGGAGCCGCACUUGUAGCCAUUGUUGCAACCAUUGGUAACUUCUUGCAAGGAUGGGAUAAUGCAACAAUUGCAGG